GCUGCACGUUCCCGCGCUGCCGAGGGGAGGCUGGCGCGCGCUGCCCCUUACCGGCCAUCACGUGCUUUAAUCCCAGCUUGUAUGGAUAAAACUGUGCCUACUAAACAAUGGCAUCCUAUAUUAAAAACUGCAUGGCAAAUGUGCAGCUGCUCAAUGACAGCGACCACUAAUAAGAGCAGUCAUCUCAACGAAGAUAUACGCUGGCCGCUUCUAGCAAGAUCUGCACAUUCUGCAGGAAAGUGUUGAUCUUUUCCAUGGAGUCCCCACUACUGUUGAAAA